rnacentral:rRNA from 1 species
GACGAACGCUGGCGGCGUGCUUAACACAUGCAAGUCGAACGGAAAGGCCCUGCUUUUGUGGGGUGCUCGAUUGGCGAACGGGUGAGUAACACGUGAGUAACCUGCCCUUGACUUUGGGAUAACUUCAGGAAACUGGGGCUAAUACCGGAUAGGAGCUCCUGCUGCAUGGUGGGGGUUGGAAAGUUUCGGCGGUUGGGGAUGGACUCGCGGCUUAUCAGCUUGUUGGUGGGGUAGUGGCUUACCAAGGCUUUGACGGGUAGCCGGCCUGAGAGGGUGACCGGCCACAUGGGGACUGAGAUACGGCCCAGACGGCUACGGGAGGCAGCAGUGGGGAAUAUUGCACAAUGGGGGGAAGCCUGAUGUAGCAACGCCGCGUGCGGGAUGACGGCCUUCGGGUGGUAAACCGCUUUCGACUGUGACGAAGCGUGAGUGACGGUAAUGGGUAAAGAAGCACCGGCUAACUACGUG